GACGAAGGUGGCGAGCGUUGUUCGGAAUCACUGGGCAUAAAGCGCACGUAGGCGGUGUCGUAAGUCGGAUGUGAAAUCCCUCGGCCUAACCGAGGAACUGCGUCCGAUACUGCGAUGCUUGAGGAUCAGAGGGGUGCAUGGAAUUUCCGGUGGAGCGGUGAAAUGCGUUGAUAUCGGAAGGAACUCCGGCGGCGAAAGCGAUGCACUGGCUGAUUUCUGGCGCUGAGGUGCGAAAGCCAGGGGAGCAAACGGG
rnacentral:rRNA from 1 species